CAGUAGCCGCGGUAAUACGUAGGUCCCGAGCGUUGUCCGGAUUUAUUGGGCGUAAAGCGAGCGCAGGCGGUUAGAUAAGUCUGAAGUUAAAGGCUGUGGCUUAACCAUAGUACGCUUUGGAAACUGUUUAACUUGAGUGCAAGAGGGGAGAGUGGAAUUCCAUGUGUAGCGGUGAAAUGCGUAGAUAUAUGGAGGAACACCGGUGGCGAAAGCGGCUCUCUGGCUUGUAACUGACGCUGAGGCUCGAAAGCGUGGGGAGCAAACAGGAUUAGAUACCCGAGUAGUCCCUGUCUCUUAUACA
rnacentral:rRNA from 1 species